UAGGGCGUAAGCGCGCGCAGGCGGUUUCUUAAGUCUGAUGUGAAAGCCCACGGCUCAACCGGGGAGGGGCAUUGGAAACUGGGGAACUUGAGUGCAGAAGAGAAAGGCGGAAUUCCACGUGUAGCGGUGAAAUGCGUAGAGAUGUGGAGGAACACCAGUGGCGAAGGCGGCUUUUUGGUCUGUAACUGACGCUGAGGCGCGAAAGCGUGGGGAGCAAACAGGAUUAGAUACCCUGGUAGUCCACGCCGUAAACGAUGACUGCUAAGUGUUAGAGGGUUUCCGCCCUUUAUGGCUGCACCUAACGCAUUAAGCACUCCGCCGGGGGAGUACGGUCGCAAGACUGAAACUCAAAGGAAUUGACGGGGGCCCGCACAAGCGGGGGACCAUGUGGUUUAAUUCAAACCACCGCGAAAAACCUUACCAGGUCUUGACAUCCUCUGACUUCUCUAAAGAUAAAUCGUGCCCCUUCGAGCUACAGAGCGAGAGGUGGUGGGUGGUUGUCGUCUCCU
rnacentral:rRNA from 2 species